rnacentral:lncRNA from 1 species
AGAGCUGUCUGUCUCAGAUAUCUGGGGUUCACAAAGGGCCCACAGUGUGCUGGUUUUGGUACCCCAGGACUAAGGGACCAUGAGAUCUGCUGAGACCUGCCAGUGGCCACGACAGCUGCAGGAGCAGGUGACCUCCGUCCGUGGCCGUCUCCUGGCAGGGGAGAUGGCGCUGGCUGAGUGUUCCAGUUUCCCAUCAAAGCCUGAUGCUCUGCAGACUAGACACGGAAUCUUUCCCAUGGGAGCUCCCAAGCUCCCUUUUGUCCUAAUAGAAUUGUAGAUCUUUAAUUUUUGAAGCAGAACUUCUUUGGCCUGCCAGACUCUUAAAAGUUCUCUGUUUCUUAAAGGAGGAUUUUAUCUGUUCAAUGUUAUCAGACAGCUGGAAGGGAAACUGCAGGCCAUCUAGGCAUCUGGUGUUAGGCAGAAGUUGAAUUUUCGUUUUGUUGACAGGAACAUAGGACAAGAGGGUGUUUUACACACAGCCAGCCUAUUUUAUUAAAUAAAGUUCUCCAUAAAUGAUGAUGAUUUUUUCCAUGUAGACUAAAUGACUAAGGAGAGGAAUUUCUCUUGGUCAGCUUUUUUUAAGUGCUUGUGAUAUUUUGUUGUUAUUGUAGAUCUCAAGUCCUUGAAUAAUUUGGAGUUUUUUUCUCUCCUUCUUAUUUCAGUAAAUUUACUUUCUCAUUUUC